CCUACGGGAGGCAGCAGUGGGGAAUAUUGGACAAUGGGCGAAAGCCUGACCCAGCAACGCCGCGUGAGGGAAGAAGGCUUUCGGGUUGUAAACCUCUUUUAUCAGGGACGAAGCAAGUGACGGUACCUGAGUAAUAAGCCACGGCUAACUACGUGCCAGCAGCCGCGGUAAUACGUAGGGGGCAAGCGUUAUCCGGAUUUACUGGGUGUAAAGGGCGUGUAGGCGGGGAUGCAAGUCGGAUGUGAAAACCAGGGGCUCAACCCGUGGCGUGCAUUUGAAACUGUGUUACUAGAGUGCAGGAGAGGCAAGUGGAAUUCCUAGUGUAGCGGUGAAAUGCGUAGAUAUUAGGAGGAACACCAGUGGCGAAGGCGGUCUUCUGGACCGCAACUGACGCUGAGGCGCGAAAGCGUGGGGAGCAAACAGGAUUAGAUACCCCAGUAGUC
rnacentral:rRNA from 1 species